GGGCACAUGGUGUAGUUGGUUAUCACGUUCGCUUUGCAUCGUUGUUUGCUUGCGAAAGGUGUUGGGUUCAAUUCCCAAUGUGUCCA